rnacentral:rRNA from 1 species
CCUACGGGAGGCAGCAGUGGGGAAUCUUGCGCAAUGGGCGAAAGCCUGACGCAGCAACGCCGCGUGCGGGAAGAAGGCUUUCGGGCUGUAAACCGCUUUCAGCAGGAACGAAAAUGACGGUACCUGCAGAAGAAGGAGCGGCCAACUAUGUGCCAGCAGCCGCGGUGAUACAUAGGCUUCAAGCGUUGUCCGGAUUUAUUGGGCGUAAAGAGUUCGUAGGCGGUCGAGUAAGUCGGGUGUGAAAAUUCUGGGCUCAACCCAGAGACGCCACCCGAUACUGCUUGACUUGAGUUCGAUAGGGGAGUGGGGAAUUCCUAGUGUAGCGGUGAAAUGCGCAGAUAUUAGGAGGAACACCGGUGGUGAAGGCGCCACUCUGGAUCGAUACUGACGCUGAGGAACGAAAGCAUGGGUAGCAAACAGGAUUAGAUACCCUGGUAGUCCAUGCCGUAAACGGUGGGCACUAGGUGUGGGUUUCUAUUAACGAAAUCCGCGCCGUCGCUAACGCAUUAAGUGCCCCGCCUGGGGAGUACGGUCGCAAGACUAAAACUCAAAGGAAUUAAGACGGCUUGAGAGUUGCGAGCGACACGAGGGAGGAGG